rnacentral:rRNA from 1 species
GCAAGUCGAGCGCUACCUUCGGGUGGAGAGGCGGACGGGUUAGUAACGCGUGGGAACGUACCCAGAUCUGCGGAAUAGCCACUGGAAACGGUGAGUAAUACCGCAUACGCCCGUCGGGGGAAAGAUUUAUCGGAAUUGGAUCGGCCCGCGUUAGAUUAGAUAGUUGGUGGGGUAACGGCCUACCAAGUCUACGAUCUAUAGCUGGUUUUAGAGGAUGAUC